rnacentral:tRNA from 1 species
GGGCGAGUGGCGGAAUGGCAGACGCGCUGGCUUCAGGUGCCAGUGUUCGCAAGGACGUGGGGGUUCAAGUCCCCCCUCGCCCACCA